ACCUCUAACUGAUUUAAAGCAUAAAGGGCCCGGGACAAAAGAUUCUGCUGCCAGUCUAUGGGUAUUGUCCCCUUAUGACCUUCCCCCUCUCCAAGCUGUUGUAGUUUUGCUUUUAGGGUGCGAUGCACAUGUUCUACUAUUGCUUGUCCUUGACUGUUGUAAGGAAGGCCAUGUACUAACUUGAUGUCCCAUAAUGCACACCAUUCUUUGGUGAUUCUAGCAACAAAA